AAAUUGAAGAGUUUGAUCAUGGCUCAGAUUGAACGCUGGCGGCAGGCCUAACACAUGCAAGUCGAGCGGUAGCACAGAGAGCUUGCUCUCGGGUGACGAGCGGCGGACGGGUGAGUAAUGUCUGGGAAACUGCCUGAUGGAGGGGGAUAACUACUGGAAACGGUAGCUAAUACCGCAUAACGUCGCAAGACCAAAGUGGGGGACCUUCGGGCCUCAUGCCAUCAGAUGUGCCCAGAUGGGAUUAGCUAGUAGGUGGGGUAAUGGCUCACCUAGGCGACGAUCCCUAGCUGGUCUGAGAGGAUGACCAGCCACACUGGAACUGAGACACGGUCCAGACUCCUACGGGAGGCAGCAGUGGGGAAUAUUGCACAAUGGGCGCAAGCCUGAUGCAGCCAUGCCGCGUGUAUGAAGAAGGCCUUCGGGUUGUAAAGUACUUUCAGCGAGGAGGAA
rnacentral:rRNA from 1 species